GAGUUUGAUCUUGGCUCAGAUUGAACGCUGGCGGAAUGCUUUACACAUGCAAGUCGAGCGGCAGCGCGGGGCAACCUGGCGGCGAGCGGCGAACGGGUGAGUAAUGCAUCGGAACAUGUCCUGUUGUGGGGGAUAGCCCGGCGAAAGCCGGAUUAAUACCGCAUACGUCCGAGAGGAGAAAGUGGGGGACCGAAAGGCCUCACGCGAUUGGGUUGGCCGAUGUCCGAUUAGCUAGUUGGUGGGGUAAAGGCCCACCAAGGCGAUGAUCGGUAGCUGGUCUGAGAGGAUGAUCAGCCACACUGGGACUGAGACACGGCCCAGACUCCUACGGGAGGCAGCAGUGGGGAAUUUUGGACAAUGGGGGCAACCCUGAUCCAGCCAUUCCGCGUGAGUGAAGAAGGCCUUCGGUU
rnacentral:rRNA from 1 species